GGCUCCAUAGGGUAGUGGUUAGCACAUCUGCUUUACACGCAGAAGGUCCUGGGUUUGCACCCCAAGUGGAGCCA
rnacentral:tRNA from 1 species